rnacentral:lncRNA from 1 species
CUGAAAUAGAAUCAUGGAAUUUUUUUCUUCCCCAGGAGAUUCUGAAGUUAUCUGAUACUCAAAUAAGUCAACCUUGGAAUCAGAUACCACUUCAGCAGCGGGACUGCUCAGGGCCAAAUCCAGCUGAAAUUCCAGACUCCCCAGGCCAUGGCUUUCUUCCUCUGCCACCAACUAGAUACAUAAGAAUAUUGCAUCUAAGAUUUUCAUGACAAGAUUAUGGAAAUCCCCAGAUCAUCCAGUUGUCCAAGGUUGGAUCACAGAAACUCUGAGUAAAACACACAAGGAACAUUACUAGCUAUGAGGAUAAUCACAAAACUCAUUUCUUGUGUGAGUAAUCCCAAUACAUGCAAGUAACCCCUCCCGCUGUGCCUCCUCUUUUUUUUU